AUUUAUCUAAUUUUUUUUGUUUUUUUUUUGAACGUCUGAUUAAUUAUGCUAUUACAACGAUGAGAAAUAUUACAUACACGAUUCUACAGCCGAUAAUUCUAACCAUCAUAUGAGAAUGCACGUCUGACUGCAUCGUUCGAGCCGUCCUAUGAGAUCCAUGUUUGAUGAUACGCCUUUGCACCAUGCUGAAGACCUCUUGUAACCCUUUUUCUCCAUGAUCUGCAUAAUUUGCGUUUUCUGGGAUUUGAACUCCAGACCUCCUGGUGUAGAAAUAUUAAUGAACCCUUAGUCAAACCACUGGACUAAGG
rnacentral:lncRNA from 1 species